AGCUUGCUGGGUGGAUUAGUGGCGAACGGGUGAGUAACACGUGAGUAACCUGCCCUUGACUCUGGGAUAAGCCCGGGAAACUGGGUCUAAUACUGGAUAUUCAGCUGCUAUCGCAUGGUGGUGGUUGGAAAGGGAUUGACUGGUCAAGGAUGGACUCGCGGCCUAUCAGCUUGUUGGUGGGGUAAUGGCCUACCAAGGCGACGACGGGUAGCCGGCCUGAGAGGGUGACCGGCCACACUGGGACUGAGACACGGCCCAGACUCCUACGGGAGGCAGCAGUGGGGAAUAUUGCACAAUGGGCGCAAGCCUGAUGCAGCGACGCCGCGUGAGGGAUGACGGCCUUCGGGUUGUAAACCUCUUUCAGUAGGGAAGAAGCGAGAGUGACGGUACCUGCAGAAGAAGCGCCGGCUAACUACGUGCCAGCAGCCGCGGUAAUACGUAGGGCGCAAGCGUUAUCCGGAAUUAUUGGGCGUAAAGAGCUCGUAGGCGGUUUGUCGCGUCUGCCGUGAAAGUCCGGGGCUCAACCCCGGAUCUGCGGUGGGUACGGGCAGACUAGAGUGCUGUAGGGGAGACUGGAAUUCCUGGUGUAGCGGUGAAAUGCGCAGAUAUCAGGAGGAACACCGAUGGCGAAGGCAGGUCUCUGGGCAGUAACUGACGCUGAGGAGCGAAAGCAUGGGGAGCGAACAGGAUUAGAUACCCUGGUAGUCCAUGCCGUAAACGUUGGGCACUAGAUGUGGGGGACAUUCCACGUUUUCCGCGUCGUAGCUAACGCAUUAAGUGCCCCGCCUGGGGAGUACGGCCGCAAGGCUAAAACUCAAAGGAAUUGACGGGGGCCCGCACAAGCGGCGGAGCAUGCGGAUUAAUUCGAUGCAACGCGAAGAACCUUACCAAGGCUUGACAUGGACCGGACCGCUCUGGAAA
rnacentral:rRNA from 1 species